rnacentral:lncRNA from 1 species
GAAAAUGCUGAAAGGCACGACACUUAUUGUCGUGAAAAUCCCGCGAGUGACUUGUCAUCCUGAUGGGGCCACUCCCUUAAAUCCAUCUUUAGACAAAAUGCCCAAAUUAACCCUAAAUUGUUUGCCGGAAAUACUCCUCUGCGUCCCUUCACCAUUCUUCCUUACCUUCAACUACGCCAUCUUCAUCGUUCCAUAAUUGUGAGGAUCAAAUCGAAAUCGAAAAUUGAAACCAACAGAUGUUGAGGAUCAAACCAAAGAUUUCUGCAGAAGAGCAGAUGCUGAUGACGAACAUACGCACAUUGGAAAAGGACAUCGAUUCAGGUUAAUUUCAAAUCCGCGUUGAAUUUUUGUGGGUCUUGGUUUGUUUUUUCCAAGUGUGUGUAUGGAUAGUUUAAGAAGUGAUACCUUUAAAUUUGGGUUUAAUGUCAUCUUCUUUUUGUCUGCCUUUGAUAUUCUCAGAUUUUUGUAGGUGAUGGAGUGCGUCUACAAGCCACUUGCUGCAAAACUCAUUGUUGGCACUUGGCAUUAUAAGCUAAAUUGAACUUGGUGUGUUGGAUUAAGUGUUAGAUUAGAUUAUGUGAAACUGGUUUUUAUAGGAUCUUGUUAAAAGUGCUUGUGUAGCUUAGUUGGUUGAUUGAGAGUUAUUUGUUCUUGGUUGGUUUUUUCCAAGUGUGUGUUUGUAUUAUGUUUUGUUACUCUUGCUGUAUUAUGCAGGUUCUGUUUGUUGCCUUGCCUUUAUACUUAAGGUUUUAUUCUAAUAAAGUUCGUUGUUUCCAGAUUUUAAAAAAUAAAAAUAAAUAUAGUUAUAAUAAGCUUGGUUGUUUUUGCAGUAGGGUGAUUGUGUGAAGGACUGAAAGGGAAACAAUGGAGAUUGGAGAUAGAGAUAAAAAGAACAAUAUCACAGGCGCAAAAUUUUCUCUUCAAUAUUUUAUUUUAUUUUAAUAUUAAUAAAGGAUAGCCUGGCUAUAAUAGCCAUAAGAAAAAAGAAACUGGUGGCAAUACACGUGUUCGUGCAAUUUCGUGGGGGUGCUUGUCGCACCAUAUAGCACAGCUC